GUUUAGAUAUUUGAUUAUGUUAUUUGGUGUGUGUGUAUUUCUAUAAUGGGUUUGAAAUGUGUAGUGUUUCUUUCUUAAGAGAACACCUGUGACAACACUAGGGGUAAACUAGGGAAGCAAGGAAAGAAAAGAAGGGAAACAUGGAUGUUAGGGGAGAAAUUCUAUUUUCGCUUUACAUAACUGAGAAAACAGAUAACAUAAAGAAAAAUUCACAUCUGCCUCUUGAGGUGAAAAUAUAAGAUAGGAUUUUAUAUAUCUGUACUGAAAAUUGAUAAAGGGAGAAGAAAAUUAAGAGGAAUGUGAAAUUAAACAUGAUCUAAGCUUUUAUAUAGGAUUAAGGGGUUGGAAAUUUAAGACGUGGACUAACUGGCAUAAGAUUUCAUUUCGAGAACAAGGUGGGAAUUUAGACAGAAAUUCAGGUGGAACAACUGCAGUGAAAAACGAAGGAAAAGAAGAGGAAAGUGAAUACUACGUUUGGCUUGAGCUUAUAUGUAUGGGUUUUUCAAAAACAAGCGUAUUGUGUUGUACGACACCUUGAUUCAACAGUUUGUUUGAUAUUUUGAUUUUAUUGUACGUGAGAGAGGGGAUUUGUUGGUGUAGAUGGCAUUGAAGCUUAGCUGGUGAAGAUGCAGUUCUUAAGUGAAUUGCAGGUGGUAUGAGGAUGGAACUGAGCAUGGGAAUGGUUAUGAACAGGUUGUUGUUGCUAAUUACAAGUUAUGUAGGUGUUGAUUUCAGAGUAUGAAAGUUCACAUAGAGCUGUAGGAGUGUGAAAGUGGUACAAAUGCAGAUUUGGCGUUGGUUUGGAAUGAACUGGUAACUAUGGGAUGAAUGGGAAUAGCUCAGGUAUGCACUGGUUGAAGAAUCAGAUGGGUUUGAGUUAAUGAUGCUCGGAUAGAUGUAUGUUAGGAGUUAACAUUACAGGUACUGGUGCAGCUGCAGUUAAGACAGUGGUAAUGGAAUAGAGGAAAUUCAGAUGUGAAGUAAGCUCUUUCAGAUGUGCAAAUAUAUUGGAAUCGAGAAAGACAAAAAAGGAAGAAAACAUUUCUAUUAUAGGAUAUAGUGGAUUAUUUCUAGGAUUUCACUUUCCGAAUCUCAUGUUUUAAUUCGUUUAUUGUGUUCAAACAACCAAUUCUAUGAUUGUAGUAAUUGAUGAACGGACAAAUUAUUAUAAAUGAAAAUUAAAGUAAUAUAUGUAUUUUAUUGUGAA